AGAGUCCUAUCCUAGCUCAGAUUGAACGCUGGCGGCAUGCUUUACACAUGCAAGUCGAACGGCAGCACGGACUUCGGUCUGGUGGCGAGUGGCGAGCGGGUGAGUAAUACAUCGGAACGUGCCCAGUUGUGGGGGAUAACUACUCGAAAGAGUGGCUAAUACCGCAUGAGAACUGAGGUUGAAAGCAGGGGACCGCAAGGCCUUGCGCAACUGGAGCGGCCGAUGGCAGAUUAGGUAGUUGGUGGGGUAAAGGCUUACCAAGCCUGCGAUCUGUAGCUGGUCUGAGAGGACGACCAGCCACACUGGGACUGAGACACGGCCCAGACUCCUACGGGAGGCAGCAGUGGGGAAUUUUGGACAAUGGGCGAAAGCCUGAUCCAGCAAUGCCGCGUGCAGGAUGAAGGCCCUCGGGUUGUAAACUGCUUUUGUACGGAACGAAAAGCUUCUGGUUAAUACCUGGGAGUCAUGACGGUACCGUAAGAAUAAGCACCGGCUAACUACGUGCCAGCAGCCGCGGUAAUACGUAGGGUGCAAGCGUUAAUCGGAAUUACUGGGCGUAAAGCGUGCGCAGGCGGUUUUGUAAGACAGUGGUGAAAUCCCCGGGCUCAACCUGGGAACUGCCAUUGUGACUGCAAGGCUAGAGUGCGGCAGAGGGGGAUGGAAUUCCGCGUGUAGCAGUGAAAUGCGUAGAUAUGCGGAGGAACACCGAUGGCGAAGGCAAUCCCCUGGGCCUGCACUGACGCUCAUGCACGAAAGCGUGGGGAGCAAACCAGGAUUAGAUACCCUGGUAGUCCACGCCCUAAACG
rnacentral:rRNA from 1 species